rnacentral:misc_RNA from 1 species
GUGCACUCCCGACGUUCCCGUUAUCUGCUCUGAAUCAAGUCGUUGGUUCUCUUUUCUACUUUGAAAGGCUUGGAACAGAAUACACAGAAGAAAGCGAAAGAAUUUGGGAAAACUAAGCAGGAACCCCACAAGGAAAGAAAAAACACCCAAUCAAUGGCCACAUUACACCCACCUUGGACAGAAACCUGUCCUUAGAUAUUUUUCAUUCGCGUCUUCUCUCUCUCUCUUUCUCUCU